AAAUUUUAAUGGCCGCAGUACCCUGACUGUGCAAAGGUAGCAUAAUCAUUUGUUUUUUAAUUGAAAACUAGAAUAAAAGAGUUGACGUAAAAUAAACUUUUUGUAAAAAUAUUUAAAUUGACAUUAUAGUCAAAAGGCUCUAAUAUAGUAGAGGGACGACAAGACCCUGUGAAAUUUUAUUUUAUAAAUUACAGCUAUUAAAGAAAUUGCGUAAAAAUGAAUUUGACUGGGGCGGUUUUUAUAAUAUCUAUCUAUAAAAAAAAACUAAAAUGUUAAUCUUUGAAACCCUGAUAUGUAAAAUUUUACAAAUUACUCCAGGGAUAACAGCAUAAUCUCAUUAGAUAGAACAUAUAGACAAUGAAGUUUAUGACCUCGAUGUUGAAUUGGGAGUACUUAUAAAAGCAAAAAUUUAUAACGUUAGUCUGUUCGACUAUUAAAAUUCC
rnacentral:rRNA from 1 species